rnacentral:rRNA from 1 species
GACGAACGCUGUCCGCGUGCCUAAUACAUGCAAGUAGAACGCAGUUGCGAACGGGUGAGUAACGCGUAGGUAACUGCCUCAUAGCGGGGGAUAACUAUUGGAAACGAUAGCGAAUACCGCAUACUGUGAGAUGGACCUGCGUUGUAUUAGCUAGUUGGUGAGGUAAAGGCUCACCAAGGCGACGAUACAUAGCCGACCUGAGAGGGUGAUCGGCCACACUGGGACUGAGAGCCGGCCCAGACUCAUACGGGAGGCAGCAGUAGGGACUCUUCGGCAAUGGACGGCAGCGUGACCGAGCAACGCCGCGUGAGUGAUGAGGGUUUUGGGAACGGAAAGCUCUGUUGUUAGAGAAGCGGUAACUAACAAGAAAGGCACGGCUAACUACAUGCCAGCAGCCGCGGUAAUAC